UUCUUAUAUAUAUUUCUUU
rnacentral:tRNA from 2 species